GACGAACCGUGCGAACGUUGUUCGGAAUCACUGGGCUUAAAGGGCGCGUAGGCGGUCACGCACGUCCGGGGUGAAAUCUUUCGGCUUAACCGGAAAAGGGCCCUGGAUACGGCGUGACUGGAGGGGGAGAGGGGCGGACGGAACUUCCGGUGGAGCGGUGAAAUGCGUUGAUAUCGGAAGGAACGCCGGUGGCGAAAGCGGUCCGCUGGAUCCCUACUGACGCUGAGGCGCGAAAGCCAGGGGAGCGAACGGG
rnacentral:rRNA from 1 species